AAUCCUCAAAACCCGUUCUUCAAUUGGGGAAAGGGUUUUGGACUUGGAGGAUCGAUGCUUGCCCUCACUUUGAAGGCGAGCUCCUCUCAAAUAAAUUAGUGGGGUUUGCUUUGCUGAUCCUUGACGGUGAUAAGACAUCUCUACGUUUUGGAUUUGGCGACUGUCCCUUGCUUCUAACCGUCCUAUGGACAAUGAUGGGUGCACCGGUCCACCGCCUUACAUUGGUGGGGGGCUGGACCCACAAUAAAAAGGACC
rnacentral:misc_RNA from 1 species